UGCAAGUCGAACGAGAAAGUCCGCAAGGAUAAGUAAAGUGGCGUACGGGUGAGUAACACGUGGAUAAUCCACCUCUUAGUGGGGAAUAACUCUGGGAAACUAGAGCUAAUACCGCAUAAGUCCGAGAGGAGAAAGCAGCAAUGCGCUGAGAGAGGGGUCCGCGGCCGAUUAGCUAGUUGGUAGGGUAAUGGCCUACCAAGGCGAUGAUCGGUAGCCGGCCUGAGAGGGCACACGGCCACACUGGCACUGAAACACGGGCCAGACUCCUACGGGAGGCAGCAGUGGGGAAUCUUGCACAAUGGGGGAAACCCUGAUGCAGCGACGCCGCGUGAACGAUGAAGCCCUUCGGGGUGUAAAGUUCUUUCGGCAGGAACGAUAAUGACGGUACCUGAAGAANAAGCUGCGGCUAACUACGUGCCAGCAGCCGCGGUAAUACGUAGGCAGCAAGCGUUGUUCGGAGUUACUGGGCGUAAAGAGUGUGUANGCGGUGCUCUAAGUUUGGUGUGAAAUCUCCGGCUCAACUGGGAGGGUGCGCCGAAAACUGGAGUGCUUUGAGUGUUGGGAAAAGAAAGCCGGAAAUUCCCUG
rnacentral:rRNA from 1 species